rnacentral:rRNA from 1 species
AACGUAGGAGGCAAGCGUUAUCCGGAUUUACUGGGCGUAAAGCGCGUGCAGGCGGUUCCAUAAGUGGGAUGUGAAAGCUCCUGGCUCAACUGGGAGAGGUCGUUCCAGACUGUGGGACUGGAGGAUGGUAGAGGGAGGUGGAAUUCCGGGUGUAGUGGUGAAAUGCGUAGAUAUCCGGAGGAACACCAGUGGCGAAAAGCGGCCUCCUGGACCAUUUCUGACGCUCAGACGCGAAAGCUAGGGUAGCAAAACGGG